AAAGAAAUACAGUGAAAUCUGUGCCCAAAGCCAUCCUGGUACAUGCAGGGGUCUUUUCUGAAGAAUGGCUCUAUCAUUUCCAUGCUUGUCUUUAAAUGAAAUCAAUCAACAGAGACAAAGAAGAAAGCAAGAAAAAGUUACUCUGACUCCUGCCCUCAGAAAUAACCAUUGCUAAUAUCACAUGGAUUUCACCCCAGUGUUUCUCCGAAAAGCUACACAGCAGGCAGACAGACAGAAGAGCGAAUGGAUGGGCAGGGAACUCCAGGCAGCUCUGUGAAGCCAGUAGGGCUACAGACUUGAAGUCAUAGGAUCUCCACAUAGCAGCUAGCAUCCUGGGUAAGCUCUUCAGCCUCUGGCCUCAGCCUCCUCAUUUGUACAGUGGCAGUAACACCUGCACGGUGUUCUUGAAAGGACAAACUUAGAUCAUAUAUGUAAAUGUUUACCAGGGUGCCUGAUAGAUCAUAAAAACUCAAUAAAUGGCUU